ACGAACCGUGCGAACGUUGUUCGGAUUCACUGGGCUUAAAGGGCGCGUAGGCGGGCUUGUAAGUCAGGGGUGAAAUCCUCCGGCUCAACCGGAGAACAGCCUUUGAUACUGCGAGUCUCGAGGGAGAUAGGGGUCUGCGGAACUUCCGGUGGAGCGGUGAAAUGCGUAGAUAUCGGAAGGAACGCCGGUGGCGAAAGCGGCGGACUGGAUCUUCUCUGACGCUGAGGCGCGAAAGCUAGGGGAGCGAACG
rnacentral:rRNA from 1 species